rnacentral:rRNA from 1 species
CUUGAACGCUGGCGACAGGCCUACCACAUGCAAGUCGCACGAAUGGCGGACGGGUGAGUAAUGUCUGGUAAACUGGCAGCUGGAGGGGGAUAACUACUGGAAACAGUAGCUCAUACCGCAUACCAUCAGAUGUGCCAAGAUGGGAUUAGCUUGUUAGUGGGGUACCGGCACACCAAGGCGACGAUCCCUAGCUGGUCUGAUAGGAUGACCAGCCACAUGGGAACUGAGACACGGUCCAGAUUCCUACGGGAGGCAGCAGUGGGGAAUAUUGCACAAUGGGCGCAAGCCUGAUGCAGCCAUGCCGCGGGUAUGAAGAAGGCCUUCGGGUUGUAAAGUACUUUCAGCGGGGAGGCGUUACCCGCAGAAGAAGCACCGGCUAACUCCGUGCCAGCAGCCGCGGUAAUUC